rnacentral:rRNA from 1 species
CCUACGUGUGGCAGCAGUGAGGAAUAUUGGUCAAUGGACGAGAGUCUGAACCAGCCAAGCAGCGUGAAGGAUGACUGCCCUAUGGGUUGUAAACUUCUUUUAUAAAGGAAUAAAACGAGGCACGUGUGCCUUUUUGCAUGUACGUUAUGAAUAAGGAUCGGCUAACUCCGUGCCAGCAGCCGCGGUAAUACGGAGGAUCCGAGCGUUAUACGGAUUUAUUGGGUUUAAAGGGAGCGUAGAUGGGUUGUUAAGUCAGUUGUGAAAGUUUGCGGCUCAACCGUAAAAUUGCAUUUGAUACUGGCAGUCUUGCGUACAGUUGAGGUCAUCGGCAUUCGUGGUGUAGCGG